rfam:Triticum aestivum genome assembly, contig: Triticum_aestivum_CS42_TGACv1_scaffold_082119_1DS
CUAAUAUCCCUUCGUUCGGAAUUACUUGUCGCGGAAAUGGAUGUAUCUAGACGUAUUUUAGUUCUAGAUACGUCCAUUUUCGAGACAAGUAAUUCCGAACGAAGGGAAUAGCAA